UACGUAGGGAGCGAGCGUUGUCCGAAGUUACUGGGCGUAAAGCGCGCGUAGGCGGUCAUUUAAGUUCGGGGUGAAAGGUUCAACGCUCAACGUGAACAGUGCCUUGAAUACUGGGUGACUUGAGUUCGGGAGAGGGCAGUGGAAUUCCUGGUGUAGCGGUGAAAUGCGUAGAUAUCAGGAGGAACACCGAUGGCGAAGGCAGCUGCCUGGCCUAGAACUGACGCUGAGGUGCGAAAGCGUGGGGAGCGAACAGG
rnacentral:rRNA from 1 species